CUGAGCUCAUCAGCAGAAACACUUCAUGUUGAAUUUACAACAUUAAUAGUAGGAGGUUUGCCACCUUCUUGUUUUAAUAAGGAAGAACAAGAAGGAGAAGAAGAAGAAGAAGAAGAAGAAGCCUUAUGGUACCAACCUAAAUUGGUAGAAUUAAGGAAGUUUUUAGUUCCUCUGCUAAUUCAGAGAUAUAUAGAAAGCCUGCAUUUUUCAACCACCUUUGGCAAUUUGCUUCCAGCAGUUCAGCAACUCCCUCGUGGACACCUUUACAAGUCAACGCUGCGCGCUGUACUGUGGGCGACGGUAAGACUGGAGUAGAUUUGUUCUCGGAGUGAAACUGUGGGCGUUUCCUGACUCUCCUUUCCUUACACGAGCAGCACGCUGAUAUGAGAUGGAGUUAAGAUAGACAUUGUGUUUGUGUUUGUCUGUGUUUACUUUAAUAUUUCCAGAGCUGUGUUUUCAGAUAGAUAGAUAGAUUCAUUCAGUUUUGUAACUCACAUUUUUGAAUUGUAUAUUUUUGACUAACAACCAGUUUGUUUUAACAUAAAAUACACAAUGAGAAGAGAAGUUUAAGUUAAUACAGGUGUUUAUUCAUUCACUAAACUUUUCUAUAAAGUGCCUUUUUUAUAAAAAAUGUGUUUAGUUCAUUGCCAUACACAUUUAAAGCAAGUUAUAUUUAGACUAAUAGUCCACCUUGUUUCAAAAAAUAUAAUUUUUUUUUUAAGCUUUUUUACUGAAUUACUCAACUCCCUCAGAAGAAAAUGGUGACAAUUACGAAAUUUGAAUACUGCCACAGCAGGAGUUACAGAGUGUGGACAUCAACCUGCAGUCAUUCUGGCCAAACUGAUGUUCUGCAGAGGAGGAGUGCAACACUUCCUGUUGCGACGUACCCUGUAUCCUGUUUUCCACAGUCAGUGGUCAUGCGUGUCAUUCCCCUCUGCAUGCUAGGCUGAUGUGUGGGCACAAUCUUGUGACCCUGCAAACGCAAAAAAAAACCCCUUAAACUUCAUCAAGUUCUGUUGACAAAGGACGACAUAUUUAGUCUACUUUGCUUAAGUUGAUGUGGACAAACGCCAUAAUUACAGCGUACACAGUUUUAGCACCUUAGCACAGCCGCUUAAAAUAAGUGCAUGCUACGAUGGUGACGAGAACAUUAACACCUCCAAACAGCAGGGCCAAAGUUCUCAGGGCCAAGCUCUGUGACUGUGGUGAGACCGUACAUGAGCUUAAACCAGCAGAGAUCCUGUGACUGUGUUCAGACGUGUUCAGUUACACCCUGUGGUGGGAGCAAACCAUGCAGAGGAACUUUGCAGCGUGUCGUUUACACUCGAAAACAAAUAUAUAGAUGGUGUUUUAGAGAGUAAAAGUAGCUUGGUCUGUAAAUACUGGAUUCAAGUUCAUGUAAUGAGGGGAGAAAAAAAUCCAGAUCCUUUAAAGUAAGGGUCUUCAACAUUUUUCAGGCUAAUGCUAAGCUAUUCAAACACUACACAGGUUCAUAUAUUCAUGUUUUUAUGAGCAAUAUAAUUUUAAUUAAAACAUUUUGUGACCCGCCCCCGCAGUACCUCUAUGGACCCUAGCUUAGCUAGCAGUAUUUAGCUUAGCUCAAAUACUGUGGGCUCUGUCUUCCAUGUCACACAGCGCAGUGCAAUUGUCGCUAAUGUCCAACCGGACAGAGGAUCAGUAGAAGACCACGUACAGACCAUGUGUGAGGCAGUAUCUGGUGCUGUAGUUCGGUUUGUUCGGCCUUGUUCAGACUGCAGCACAAAUCAGAUUUUUAAGCAAAUCCAGAUUGUAGCUGAACAGCUAAAAAAACCCACAUAAGACCCAAUCUAUCCAAAGCUGAUUCAAACCACAUACGGAGGUGGUUUUUGUAAUAACUGUUUCACUGCUGAUUUCAGCAGAAAUUCGAAAUAAUCAGCAAAGUCAGUGCCAACUAUAGAUAUAUAUGAAUGUAGCAUAGCAUAGCAAUGAUUUGUAUCUCAGCUGCAGAUCACGUGCGACUGUUUGCUCCUGUCUGGUGCACUGGGCUUUUAAAGGGAAUGACAAGUAAAGUUCUGAUUGGUUUGAUUGAUGUUACCCCGGAAACACACCUAUAAAUACCAAAAACAACCCCUUUGAAGAUGGAAACACCCUUAGACCUUAUAGGGUGCUGGAUCUUAAAGAAUGUGAUCAGAGCGCCACAACACGUGGAAAAACACUGGAAAAAACAAGACACGGCACGUGAUCUAUCAUGGGUAAUGUUUUGGGUUUUUUGUAAUGUUGCAAUCAGUUACAGUCUGUUACACUUUUAGCCAUCUCUUCUUAAAGCAACACAAUGUGUAACAUAUUAAGUAAAGUCAAAUUUUCUCAUUCUUUGAGCGGUGUUAUGGUGCUGACCCCAAAUGCUCCAUAGUGCCGGUGCAGGUGAUGUAGACCUGCACAGGCUUUGCCACUCACCCUGAUAUUGGAGUUAUUUGUUUAUCUAUUUAUUUAUUUAUUUAUGAACACUGUUCUUUGCUUAAAAUGAUACAUUUAUGCCUUGGUAAUGUCUCAUUUCUGUUGUUUUGUGCAUUUUGAUGCCAGAUAAGAUGUGAUGUGACCAAAAAAAACCCAACAAAAACCUUCUGUGGACAUUAUUUUUGGUGCACAGACAGCAAAAGUCUUAUCUGCAUCUGCAUCUCCAUGUGCUAACUGUAGUUUCUAAUGUCUUACACAACAGUAACCAUUAUUAUAUUUUGGUUGCACUUUCCCACACAGGAUGAUGCGUGUGCAGCUUCAACUGCAUGUGCGCGUCGGCACCUGGAACCGGUGGAUCCAGGAAAUUUCAACAGGCCAGACUGCAUCAUGUAGGAAAGCAACAGUGGUUGCACAAAGAUUUAAGGUUAAACAGUUACGGUGGAAAUCAACCAUUAGGCCAUAACGUCUCACAAAAACAGUGCAAAAACAAGCAGCUCUUGUCAAGGCCUGGAUUAUCCUGACCAUAUGACACGAAAUGGAUUCAUUUAAAGGCAACCUUCAAGGAACUGAAUCUGAAAGACAAGUAACUAGUUCCUCAUUUGACGAUAUGUCACUCUUUGGUGUGCAUGAUGCACGUACUUCAUGCUUUAGGUCACAAGGAAGACGGAAAUACGGAGACAAGGGUUCUGUGAAUUAUAAGCAGACUUUAGGUCACAAACAAAAGCAGAGAGACGUGGAUCUGAUAAGCAGUAGAAACCUGUAUUUCUGGUGAUUUAAGUGACAGCCGAUGUGAACGCAGUUUGGUUUAAAUGCACUUUUCAAAUAAGGUUGGAAUGCAUCUUGUGGUGGUUUUACUGGAUUUCCAAAAAUAGUUGGCAGAAAUAGGGACAGUACACACUAAUGCACAAAUGCGGCAAUAUAUGUAAAUAUGUCAGAUUAUAGCUCAAGGCUAGUUUCUACCUGCAGUCUCUUGGCAGGUUGGUGGAACAUUAAAAAAAAGACACUUAACACAGAGAUAACAAACAAAGACAGAGCAACUGUAGAAAGAUAAAAAUCACAUGGCCCUGCGAUGGACUGGCAAUCUGUCCAGGAUGUGCCGACUAUCGUCCUAUGUCAGCACCCCCCAGCGACCCCGCCGUGGAGGAUAAAGCGGUAGAAAAUGGAUGGGUGGAUGGAGGUGGAGCCAGUCCAUGCAGGAUUUUAUACAUCAGGCAGGCAGUUUUAUUUUAGGAGGUUAUAUCUAUAAGUAGAAUAUUACAGAAUAUUGUGUAAAGGUUUUCUUUUUUAUCUAAUGUUUUCAGUGCUUUUUUAGAAAGUGAUUUGAUUGGUUUGAGGGUCGCCACUCCUGCCAAUGACCAGCUUGUAAAACAAUAGCUCAACAAUAGCUUUCAUUUAAGAUUAAAUGAAUGGCUAACAACAGGCAUUUCCUGUCCUUUGCAAUGUAUGUACUUGUCUGCAGCUUCAUGGAGAGAACACCUCCAGUCUCACUUUCAUCAUGUUAGUAAAAUAAUAUUCAAAAUAAUAAUAAGACAAAAUUACGAGUUAAAUGAUGUUAAUUUGUGUAAUUAAUUAGGGUUAUCAUGGGAUGAAAAUAGCACAGAAAAGUUUGGGCGGUCUACUGCUUUUAGGCAUUCUUUGCACUCAUCUCUUCAUGAUUAUUAUUAUUAUCAUUACCUCUGUAUGAAUGUUCUGUCUGUUUGUCGAUGAUCACCUGUAUCAAUAAAAAUGUAUACAAUCACCAGUGUUGAUGCGGUUGACCCGCAUCAUUUCAACUAAUUUGAAA